CGUGUAGGCGGUCGGCCAAGUCUGAUGUGAAAGCCCGGGGCUCAGCCCCGGAAGUGCGUCGGAAACUAGUCGGCUGGAGCGCGAUAGAGGAGGGUGGAAUUCCUGGUGUAGCGGUGAAAUGCGUAGAUAUCAGGAGGAACACCGGCGGCGAAGGCGGCCCUCUGGAUCGUUGCUGACGCUGAGACGCGAAAGCGUGGGGAGCAAACAGGAUUAGAUACCCUGGUAGUCCACGCUGUAAACUAUGGGUACUAGGUGUUUGGGGUAUUGACCCCCUGAGUGCCGCAGUUAACGCAUUAAGUACCCCGCCUGGGGACUACGGCCGCAAGGUUAAA
rnacentral:rRNA from 1 species